rnacentral:tRNA from 1 species
GGAGUUGUGGCUUAGUAGUAAAGCACUAGCCUAGCAUGUGGGAGGCACUGGGUUCAAUUCUCAGCACCACCU